rnacentral:rRNA from 1 species
UACAGAGGGGGCAAGCGUUGUUCGGAAUUACUGGGCGUAAAGGGCGCGUAGGCGGCCUGUUAAGUCGAACGUGAAAUCCCUGGGCUCAACCCAGGAACUGCGUCCGAUACUGGCAGGCUUGAAUUCGGGAGAGGGAUGCGGAAUUCCAGGUGUAGCGGUGAAAUGCGUAGAUAUCUGGAGGAACACCGGUGGCGAAGGCGGCAUCCUGGACCGAUAUUGACGCUGAGGCGUGAAAGCCAGGGGAGCAAACGGG